AGCUGUUGAAGAACCGUGGAGAUGUGACAAGGAAUGAGCAGUAUUCCUGGACGCAAAAAGGGAGAAUAAUUGACUUUCAGGCUGUAUGUUACAAAUCCACUUUUGUGAUUUUAGUGGUGCCUGUGACAAGAAAGGAAAUGUGGGAAAGGGAGCUGGCUCCAGGAAGGAGUGCCUGGCUAUUUUUCCAGUCAAUAUCUAGUGUGCUGCACAGCAUCCAAGAGAAUUUGCAGAAUCAGAAUUUGGGCUGGAUAUGUGGGAUAUGGACAGAAGAGCAGCUUCAGAAUGACCCGUGUUACUGUGUCACGGAGAAGUGCUGGCUACCAUUGCAAAGUAUCUGCUCUCUUCCAGUACUAUGAAUUCUGUAGGAUUUCAAGAAAGCUUUUAAAAUCCUCAAUUUGGGUGAGAUAUUUUUCCGAGAAAGAAAUUUUAACAGAACAAUGUGAUUAGAGGAAUAUUUAAUAAUUCUGAUUCCCAGCACUAUGGCACUAGCUAUGUUCUACCACAAGUUUAUUUUUAUUUUGUACACAAUGGGCUACAGUUUGGUUCAGAUACUUUAUACCAACAUUUGUCUUGGAUCAACUGAUGUAUCUGAAGAACAGGACAGCUUUAUGAGACAAACAUGUUUUGUCAGUUUCCAGCUGUCUAUACUGCUCUUUUUCUUUGCAGAGUAUUUUAUCAUGAAAUAUGAAAUUAUGCCUACUGAUAUUGACAAAUAUUGUAAGAAAGAAUCCAUGGAUGGACAAGUCACAGCACGUGGCAGUUGUAAGGAAGAAGCUGUGACCACGUUAGUGGUCUAAUUUAUUCAGUUGAUUGAGGUAGAGGUGGGAAAAAAAUGCUCCAAAUAAGUAUCCCUAUACUGUCUAUAAGGCAUGUUUCAAAAUGUUUAUACUAGAAACAAAUCUAUGCUUGAUGAGCUCCAGAUGAUUCCACUGAUGUUAAUACAAAGAAAAAAGCUAGCAUCUUCCCUCCUCUGUCCCCUUCCCCUGCCAGAGGUAAUCCAGAGAUUCUUUCACUGUUAAAGCCAUUAUGACAUAUUUUGGAACUAGCAAAACUGAAAAUGAUUCAUCUAGUCUUUCCUAUGAUGUUUAAAAAUGUAUUUUGCAGUAGCUCUAAGUACAAGGCGGUUAGAAAACUUUCAGCAAUUUAUAUAAAUAAAUAUUGUAGGAAAAGCCUUUGAAGCGGGAGAUCAUGACUGAACACAUCUGCUUAACAGAACUAAAAGCACAAGGGUUUGAGACCUUUCUCUUCAGCUGUACCAAACAAAACUAAAAAGAAAGACAAGCUUUGCUUUAAUGUUUUACUCAUAAACUUUUCAUUGUUUUGUGUUUUUGUACUUGCAUAGCAAAAGGAGUGUAGAUAAACAAAUGUAUCAUUUCUUUUAAUGGCAAAAGUAUUCUGAUUUUUACUCAGUGAUGUAGCAUAAAUAUUAUUUUUGAUAGUAAGGCUCCAAUUUAUUUUUGGCUUAAAAAAGCUGGUAUGAGAUAGUGUUGAAGAAAAGAUCUUUGAUUCUUUAAUAUCAGCCAUGAACAAAGCUUUCAAAGGUACUGCAUUUUAAACGGUUCAGUAUUAAUAUCCAAGAAUCUGAUUUUGCUUUGCAAAGACUUGUCUCUUGAUCAAAAGAAGAGAGCUCACGAAUUAAGAAGUCCUUUCCAUCUUGUAAUGCUAGGAUUCUGUGAUUCAUUCUAUUCUUAGUGGAGCUUGAAACAUUUUUCCAUUAUUAUCCAGUCAGUAAUGUUGAAUAAACUUUCUUAAGCCUAAUGGUCUCACUGAAGUAUUUUUUGAGCAGACGAAAGGUUAGAAAAGAG